rnacentral:rRNA from 1 species
CACGUAGGGGGCGAGCGUUGUCCGGAUUUAUUGGGCGUAAAGAGCUCGUAGGCGGUUCGAUAAGUCGGGUGUGAAAACUCUGGGCUCAACUCAGAGACGCCACCCGAUACUGUUGUGACUUGAGUCCGGUAGGGGAGUAUGGAAUUCCCGGUGUAGCGGUGAAAUGCGCAGAUAUCAGGAGGAACACCAGUGGCGAAGGCGGUGCUCUGGGCCGGAACUGACGCUGAGACGCGAAAGCGUGGGGAGCAAACAGG